rnacentral:snoRNA from 1 species
GUCAUCAGUGAUGAUUCUUUUCUAAAGUUUGCCUGAUUUCAGCUUGGGAAGAUGAAGGCAACUCCAGUCACUACCUCUUCUGAGAUGC